rnacentral:sRNA from 1 species
UGAUAAGGUAUACACCAAGUAGUUUAUGUCAGCUGGGUCAAGCUAUAAUUACCAAGUAUAGAUAAGGUAUACACCAAGUAGUUUAUGUCAGCUAGGUCAAGCUAUAAUUACCAAGUAUAGAUAAGGUAUACACCAAGUAGUUUAUGUCAGCUAGGUCAAGCUAUAAUUACAAA